GAUGAGCCUUUUUCAAUAGUUACGUUGAAUACAAAAUUUCAUGGGCAAUGGAUUUAUUAAACCAACUAGGUUGAUAAGUAGCAUUUCGUAAAUUUUGAAAAUCGAGAAAUAAGCGUUUAUGGAUAAGGAAUUCGUUCAUAUAAACAAUGCAUGCAGAAAUAAAUAGAGAUUUGGCUAAUGAUAAACGAUUUAGGUAUAAACGUGAUCAUGUUUACGUAAUAUAGUCUAUUAAGGAAAAAUAUUGGUAACGAUCACCUAAGUAAGGGAAUCACCCCUAAUUCGUUGGCGAGGUCGUUGUAAGAUGGGAAAAGAAACGGAGUUAGUCGUCAAGGUAAGGAAAUCACUCCUACCUUGAUGAUAUGUCUCCAUUUAUUGUUACAAGGGGUAUAAAUAAAAUUAUGUGAAAUCAUGUAUGUGAAUAAUGUAUAAAUGUAUGAUAAAGUAUUUGUACGAUAUAUGUGUAAAAGUGAAAUUUCGAAAAUAAUUCGAAUUCGAAAAGAGGGAAUAGGUGAGACUUGAUCAUAAUGUUUGUUUAAGAAAAUGAAUUGAUCACAUAGCAUAAAGGGUCAUAUAGCAUAAAGAUUCAAGUUGAUUUGCAUAGCAUAAAAGUUUAAACGUUUCAUAUGGCAUAGUCAUGGAUUCCACAUAGCAUAGCAUGAAUAAACGAAAGCAUUGUAAAUUUAGUUUGUUCACGAGGGAUUAUUAUUGUUUAUGAUUGCGAUUACGUGCGAAAUGAUUAAAACGACAUUUAGAAAUGAAUGAACGUUCAAGUAUAAGAAUCACAUAUAAAUUGAGAUACAUAAGAGAGGUUCAAUAAAACAUUGGAUUGUUUCGGGUAGAGAAACGUCGACUAUUCCAAAGUGGGUCGAAAGUUCUUUCGAAUUAGAGAUAUUGUGCUUUGGCCUAUAAGUAAGAUACUCUCGUCGAGAAGCGAUUAACGGUAUCUUACCCUUCCGGUUACUACACAUCUCUAAAUGAUUGAAACAUUCGGGACUUUGGCGAGAAUAAAAAAAAAUCGAGGAAUGGGACUUAAUCGACGAGAUGCGGGUUUCACCCCUAACUUGACGAUUUCGUACCCUAAAUGUGGUUGGUACUCGUCGAUCAAAAUAAAAUUUUGACACCUUGACGAGGGUCCACUAGAGUUGAAAUGGAAAUUACCAUUAAGUUGUGGAUGUCACUCCUAGCUUAAUGGUGGAAUUUCGUGCAAAAUAGAUUAAAGGUAGAAUGAGAGUCGUUUACCAAAUUGUGGGUUUCACGCCUAUUUUGGUAAAUUCUUCUCGUUGGUGUUACAAGAGUAUAAAAAUAGCAUAAGUGUAUUAGUGUUAGCCUUAGGAAAGGCACAUAAUUUUAAUAGAAAGUAUAGCUAGGAAGCAUGCAUGGUAGAGCACAAAAGUUUUAAACAACAAAUAAGAGGCAAAAUUCCUAGAACUAUAGAUUAGGGCAAAAGCAUGGAAAUUUUCCUAAUUCCCUAUAGUUAUGGCUCUGAUACCAAUCUGUCACACCCCAACCGAUGGCGGAAACAUCGGGAUGAGACGAAGUGUGUAAAGAUUGCUAGAGACGUCAUAACACUAUGUGACAAUAUUUAAUUAAAUUCAAAUUUCAUUUCAAAACUAAAUGUCAUACAAAUUCAAAAGGAAAUAACAACAUUGUUUCAACAAAUA
rnacentral:lncRNA from 1 species